rnacentral:rRNA from 1 species
AACGAACGCUGGCGGCAGGCUUAACACAUGCAAGUCGAGCGCCCCGCAAGGGGAGCGGCAGACGGGUGAGUAACGCGUGGGAAUCUACCCAUCCCUACGGAACAACUCCGGGAAACUGGAGCUAAUACCGUAUACGCCCUACGGGGGAAAGAUUUAUCGGGGAUGGAUGAGCCCGCGUUGGAUUAGCUAGUUGGUGGGGUAAUGGCCUACCAAGGCGACGAUCCAUAGCUGGUCUGAGAGGAUGAUCAGCCACAUUGGGACUGAGACACGGCCCAAACUCCUACGGGAGGCAGCAGUGGGGAAUAUUGGACAAUGGGCGAAAGCCUGAUCCAGCCAUGCCGCGUGAGUGAUGAAGGCCCUAGGGUUGUAAAGCUCUUUCAACGGUGAAGAUAAUGACGGUAACCGUAGAAGAAGCCCCGGCUAACUUCGUGCCAGCCGCCGCCGUAACAC